rnacentral:rRNA from 1 species
AUGGAGUAUCAGCCCAUCAUCUCUGCACUCGACGUCCGCACCGAUCCCAUCACCGUUGAUGCGCUCUUCUCUAUGGUGGCAAACUUCGAUCAACACGCUGAGAUGUUCAGCGGCACUGGUGGCUUCAAGUCUUCAGCGAAUGCCGCCUCCAGGGGUCGACCGGGUGGCGGCAGAGGCGGCUACUGCAACAAGAAGCAAGGUGGUCGCGGCGGCGGCUGCUCUGGUGGUGGCGGCCAAAACCCUAGCAGCGGCUACCCUGGCACGGGCAGCAGCGGCUACAACCAUGGCGGUGGUGGUUACAACAACCAGAGUGGCGGCGGCUACAACAACCCAUGGCACCGGCGGUGGCCAAGGCAACGGCCACCGUGGCGGCGGCGGCGGGGGCUACUACAACAACAAUGGCCCUCCGCGCCACUACUACAACAACAACCAAGGGGGCCGUUUCGCCGGGUAUGA